GACGAACGCUGGCGGCGUGCUUAACACAUGCAAGUCGAACGGUGAAGCUCCAGCUUGCUGGAGUGGAUCAGUGGCGAACGGGUGAGUAACACGUGAGCAACCUGCCCCUGACUCUGGAAUAAGCGCUGGAAACGGCGUCUAAUACUGGAUACGAGAAGGGUCCGCAUGGGCACUUUCUGGAAAGUUUUUCGGUUGGGGAUGGGCUCGCGGCCUAUCAGCUUGUUGGUGAGGUAAUGGCUCACCAAGGCGACGACGGGUAGCCGGCCUGAGAGGGCGACCGGCCACACUGGGACUGAGACACGGCCCAGACUCCUACGGGAGGCAGCAGUGGGGAAUAUUGCACAAUGGGCGAAAGUCUGAUGCAGCGACGCCGCGUGAGGGAUGACGGCCUUCGGGUUGUAAACCUCUUUCAGCAGGGAAGAAGCGAAAGUGACGGUACCUGCAGAAGAAGCACCGGCUAACUACGUG
rnacentral:rRNA from 1 species